UGGGGAAUAUUGGACAAUGGGCGCAAGCCUGAUCCAGCAAUGCCGCGUGUGUGAAGAAGGCCUUCGGGUUGUAAAGCACUUUUAUCAGGAACGAAACACUGUCGGCGAAUACCCGGCGGGACUGACGGUACCUGAGGAAUAAGCACCGGCUAACUUCGUGCCAGCAGCCGCGGUAAUACGAAGGGUGCAAGCGUUAAUCGGAAUUACUGGGCGUAAAGCGUGCGUAGGCGGUUGUUUAAGUCUGCUGUGAAAUCCCCGGGCUCAACCUGGGAAUGGCAGUGGAUACUGGGCAGCUAGAGUGUGAUAGAGGAUGGUGGAAUUCCCGGUGUAGCGGUGAAAUGCGUAGAGAUCGGGAGGAACAUCAGUGGCGAAGGCGGCCAUCUGGAUCAACACUGACGCUGAGGCACGAAAGCGUGGGGAGCAAACAGGAUUAGAUACCCUGGUAGUCCACGCCCUAAACGAUGCGAACUGGAUGUUGGUCUCAACUCGGAGAUCAGUGUCGAAGCUAACGCGUUAAGUUCGCCGCCUGGGGAGUACGGUCGCAAGACUG
rnacentral:rRNA from 1 species